GCGAGAGUGGCGGAACGGAAGACGCGCUGGACUUAGGAUCCAGUGGGUGAAAGCCCGUGCGGGUUCAACUCCCGCCUCUCGCACCA
rnacentral:tRNA from 2 species